AUACAGAGGGUGCGAGCGUUAAUCGGAUUUACUGGGCGUAAAGCGCGCGUAGGUGGUUAAUUAAGUCAAAUGUGAAAUCCCCGAGCUUAACUUGGGAAUUGCAUUCGAUACUGGUUAGCUAGAGUAUGGGAGAGGAUGGUAGAAUUCCAGGUGUAGCGGUGAAAUGCGUAGAGAUCUGGAGGAAUACCGAUGGCGAAGGCAGCCAUCUGGCCUAAUACUGACACUGAGGUGCGAAAGCAUGGGGAGCAAACAGGAUUAGAUACCCUGGUAGUCCAUGCCGUAAACGAUGUCUACUAGCCGUUGGGGGAUUUGAGUUCUUAGUGGCGCAGCUAACGCACUAAGUUGACCGCCCGGGGAGUACGGUCGCAAGAUUAAAACUCAAAUAAAUUGACGGGG
rnacentral:rRNA from 1 species